GGGUCAGUAGCUCAGUUGGUUAGAGCGGGGGACUCAUAAUCCCUAGGUCGUGGGUUCAAGUCCUACCUGACCUA
rnacentral:tRNA from 2 species